GAGUUUGAUCCCGGCUCAGGACGAACGCUGGCGGCGUGCUUAACACAUGCAAGUCGAACGGAAAGGCCCCGCUCGCGGGGUACUCGAGUGGCGAACGGGUGAGUAACACGUGGGUGAUCUGCCCUGCACUUCGGGAUAAGCCUGGGAAACUGGGUCUAAUACCGGAUAUGACCUCCCUUUAGUGUGGGGGGUGGAAAGAUUUAUCGGUGCAGGAUGAGCCCGCGGCCUAUCAGCUUGUUGGUGGGGUAAUGGCCUACCAAGGCGUCGACGGGUAGCCGGCCUGAGAGGGUGGACGGCCACAUUGGGACUGAGAUACGGCCCAGACUCCUACGGGAGGCAGCAGUGGGGAAUAUUGCACAAUGGGCGGAAGCCUGAUGCAGCGACGCCGCGUGGGGGAUGACGGCCUUCGGGUUGUAAACCUCUUUCGACAGGGACGAAGUGAAAAUGACGGUACCUGUAUAAGAAGCACCGGCUAACUACGUGCCAGCAGCCGCGGUAAUACGUAGGGUGCGAGCGUUGUCCGGAAUUACUGGGCGUAAAGAGCUCGUAGGUGGUUUGUCACGUCGUCUGUGAAAUUCCGGGGCUUAACCUCGGGCGUGCAUGCGAUACGGGCAAUACUUGACUGCUGUAGGGGAGACUGGAAUCCCUGGCUGUACCGGUGAAAUGCGCAGAUAUCAGGAGGAACACCAAUGGCGAAGGCAGUUCUCUGGGCAGUUACUGACGCUGAGGAGCGAAAGCAUGGGUAGCGAACAGGAUUAGAUACCCUGGUAGUCCAUGCCGUAAACGGUGGGCGCUAGGUGUAGGGGACUUCCACGUUCUCUGUGCCGUAGCUAACGCAUUAAGCGCCCCGCCUGGGGAGUACGGCCGCAAGGCUAAAACUCAAAGGAAUUGACGGGGGCCCGCACAAGCGGCGGAGCAUGUGGAUUAAUUCGAUGCAACGCGAAGAACCUUACCUGGGCUUGACAUACACCGGACCGGCGUAGAGAUACGUCUUCCCUUGUGGCCGGUGUACAGGUGGUGCAUGGUUGUCGUCAGCUCGUGUCGUGAGAUGUUGGGUUAAGUCCCGCAACGAGCGCAACCCUUGUCUUAUGUUGCCAGCACGUGAUGGUGGGGACUCAUGAGAGACUGCCGGGGUCAACUCGGAGGAAGGUGGGGAUGACGUCAAAUCAUCAUGCCCCUUAUGUCCAGGGCUUCACACAUGCUACAAUGGUCGGUACAGCAGGUCGCGAACUCGUGAGAGUAAGCCAAUCCUUCAAAGCCGGCCUCAGUUCGGAUUGGGGUCUGCAACUCGACCCCAUGAAGUCGGAGUCGCUAGUAAUCGCAGAUCAGCAACGCUGCGGUGAAUACGUUCCCGGGCCCUGUACACACCGCCCGUC
rnacentral:rRNA from 1 species